UAUAGCCUGGGGGAAAAGACAAGGAGUCGUGAGCAUUGUCUUCUCAAUGACAGUUGCCAGCCUCUUCCUAGAUGAGUAACAGAAUGGAUUAUAAAGCGGCGGCUGAUCCUGCAAGUAACCUGGACCCAAACUGCACGGGGCUUAAAAGGUCAAGAAGAGUACAACUUAGCCAAAAUAUAUAUACCACACUACACAGUAUAAAGAUUAAAAUGAUUAUGGCUCAAAGCUUCUCAUGUUAUCCUCAGCCUAUCGAGUGGAGGUACUUGGCACCUGUUCCCACGUUUGUCAAGACAAUGCAAGAGGCAACCUAGAGAAAGAGGAGUUGACUUCACAUGCAAGUACCUUGUCUGAGUGUUCCACGCCACAGCUGCCCUGAUGACUUGACCGAAGGGAUUUCACUUUUCUUUCUCUCUCUGCCUUUAAAUGAUCUUGAAAAUCCAGCCCAUGUAGAGAGAUAUGGAGAUUCUAAGGCAAAGGGAAAAAAAUCAGACAAAGAAUCUCACUUCUCAUUGAGGUUAGGUAGUUUCAGGAUAUGAACAUCAUGUUAAAAGAUUUAGAUUGUACUAACUUGGUGAUAUGGGUGACAUGCGAGCUGGUUUCUUCUUCAAUUUCUGAAAAAAAGAGACUGUUUUGAAUUUGAAUUUUUCACACACAAUUUAUACAAGAACUUGCAAACAGUAGCUACUUUUCUAAGCAGACAGCAAACGUUCAGUUGUUAUUGUUAUGUAGUGAGUGAUGCUGAGAAUUAACCACAUUGAAAAUCGGUAGAAGCAGGAGACAACUCAAAACUACCAUAAUUUCUGGUCCAACUCACCAGUUUGGUGUCCGACUCAUAGCUAAGCGAAGAAAGACUCUCCUCUGCCUGGGGAAUAAAUAUGUAGAUGUUGUUAUUGUUAUUAUUUCCCACUUGUCUUUUCCCCAAAAAUUGGGACUCAAGUUAUUUUACAAUUAUAAAAAAUACAAUACAAAAGGCAGACAUGGAAACAGAAACAAACUAGUCACAAUAGCAAAACAUUUUUAAAGAUACACUUUAAAAAGACAAAAAAGCCACGACUAUAUAACAUAAUACUUUCAGGGAUUAUUUGCAUAAAACUGCCAGAUCGAUGGUGCAUCAGUAUUCUCACUGCUCUUCCAAAAAACCUCUUAUGUGAGAUUUGUUAAUUUUGGUGAGGGUAACUGUGGCCCUUCAGAUGCUUUAAACUACAACUCUCAUAACUGGCUAUAAAGUACUUAGUACAGCAAAUCAUGGUUAAAGUUCUCUCUUUUCAGAAUUAUGAAUUUCAUAACAUACUGUUGAAAUAUAUCAUUCUUUCCUUGUGUCAUCCAGAAAUAAUUUGAUUUUAAUUUCCUUUAAAAAUAGUAUAGUGUUAGUUAUUUCUUUUAACUGCAAAUAAGUCACCCUUAAAGGAACAGCUCCAGUGGUUCAUUUCCGCUGUCCUUUUCACCCCAGCCCAGUUUUGUGAGAUCUAGAUCUGCCUCUCAGCGAAAAGAACAGAAAGCAGGGUGAAUGUAACUUUUAAAAGCUGGAUCGCAGGAAAGAAAGCUGCAUGGAGUGAUAAGAGAUCAGCCCGGUCUGAUGAUGCCUUGCUCGCAGCCGGGCAUGUGUCACGUCCAGCCCACACAGAAUUUUUAAUUUCCUGAAGUCACAUUCUUCAGAGCAGAUUGGCAGAUUGUUCCUUUUUUAUUCUUCGGGCAUCUGAUCUGAGUCUAUAUCUCCCUAUCCAAUUUGUUUUGCUGUGCUAGUGAUCAGACUGUGAAACAAGCAAACUACAAAGUUUUAAGGGAAGUGAGCAAAUAUUUGCAGCAAACACAUAGACUUCCAACUAUAGCAAAUCUAGAUCUGAAACCAGGGAGAAAAGAGGGAAGUGAUGGCACUUGUGUGAUCCUAAUGUUUCGUGUGGCCUAUGAACCAGAUGGUUUAUUAUUCCCAUAUAUCUCACCAGAGUUCAGCUUGGAUGGAGAUGAUGGGAAUCAGAGCUCAACAACUUCCAAAAGAGCACAAUUUAAGCACAAAACUACACAGCAUACAGAAUAGGUCAAUUUGAACAAAAUUGCGAUUUGGAAAGACCUCAGAGAUGGGGAAGGGAAGGUCGUAACGACAUACAAUCUUCACUUUCAUGUCCUCCUUGAACAGGUUGCCAAUGGAAAUAGAACCAAGGAUUGUGAACUGCAGUGGUUCCAUUUGGCGAUUGUGAGGAAAGCCCAUAAAUGAGGUCACCAGAGCCCAAACAACUACCGUGUUUCCCCGGAAAUAAGACAGUGUCUUAUAUUAAUUUUUGCCCCCAAAGAUGUGCUAGGUCUUAUUUUCAGGGGAUGUUUUCGUUUUCCAUGAAGAAGUAUUCACAUUUAUUGUUGAACAAAAAAAAAUGAACAUUUAUUAUAUAAUGUACAGUAGUUGUCAUCACAAACCAGCAUAACCAGACAAACUGUGAAUCCUAUCAAGAAUUUCUUGUUACUACCAUUAUUUCCAUGUAUAAUACUCUAUGAUACAUACAUUUACCGAUCCUGCAUGCUCUGGUGUUCUGUUUGGCGGGCAUGCUUCCAAACAAAACCUUUGCUAGGUCUUACUUUCAGGGGAGGCCUUAUAUUUAGCAAUUCAGCAAAACCUCUACUAGGUCUUAUUUUCUGGGGAUGUCUUAUUUUAGGGGAAACAGGGUAUUACUAGAACUUAGGAUGGUUAAUUCUAUAAAUUAAUACUGUGUCACAUGAAGAGGUCACGUUUUAAACCUAUCUUGGAUCUAUUGCCCAAUGACGAGAGGGCAUAUUUCUCACGAUCUAUUACACUAUGUAACACGAUUUUUGUUCCUGGGUUAUAAAUGUCAUUUCCUAAUUGGUUCUACUAUCAAAACAUUAUUAUUAAUUUAUUUAUUUACUACAUUUAUAUCCUGCUCUUCUCACCCCGAAAGGGGACUCAGAGCGGCUUACAAAUCAAAUAAACAUACAAUAUAUUAUUAACACAGCACAAUAUAAUAUAAGCAUUAGAUUACUAUAUUGUACUAUAUCAUUAUAUGGUAAUAUUAUUAGUAAUAUUACAUUUAAUAUAUAAUAAUUUAUUAUUAUUACAGUAGAGUCUCACUUAUCCUUUUAUGACUGUUUUAUUGAUGCUGAUGUUUUACUGUUGAGUAAUUUGUUUUAUUGUCUUGCCAUUGUUAUUAUAUUGUUGUUUGGGCAUGGCCCCAUGUAAGCCACCCCGAGUCCCUUUGGGGAGAUGGGGCGGGGUAUAAGAAUAAAGUUGUUGUUGUUAUUAUUAUUAUUAUUAUUAUUAUUAUUAUUAUUAUUAUCCAAGCCUCGCUUAUCCAAGCUUCUGGAAUAUCCAAGCCAUUUUUGUAGUCAAUGUUUUCAAUAUAUUGUGAUAUUUUGGUGCUAAAUUCAUAAAUACAGUAGUUACAACAUAAGAUUACUGCGUAUUGAACUACUUUUUCUGUCAAAUGUGUUGUAUAACAUGAUGUUUUGGUGCUUAAUUUGUAAAAUCAUAACCUAAUUUGAUGUUUAAUAGGCUUUUCCUUAAUCCAUCCUUAUUAUCCAACAUAUUAGCUUAUCCAAUGUUCUGCCAGCCCGUUUAUGUUGGAUAAGUGAGACUCUACUGUAUAUCAUUAUAUGGUAAUAUUAUUAGUAAUAUUACAUUUAAUAUAUAAUAAUAUAUUAUUAUUAUAUCUUUAAUAUUUAUCUCUUUAUAUCUAUUAUAUUAUAUCUUUUUAUGAAUGUUGAUGUAAGUUAAUAAUUUUUAAUCUGAUUUAUAGUGUAUUGUAUAAUUUUUAUAUGUGUGUUUAUUGUAAGCUGCCCUGAGUCCCCUCUCGGGUGAGAAGGGCGGGAUAUAAAUGUUGUAAUAAAUAAAUAAAUAAAUAAUAUUUAAUAUUUAAUAUAUAA